rnacentral:misc_RNA from 1 species
AAUUGCCGCUCCCUGCCGCGUGCUCCCUGAUGAGCGGGGAAGGGGGACACACCGCACAGUGCCUGGUGUCUCAGCGUCCAGUGCGCCCACGCCAACGCUGUGUGUGUGUGGGGAGGAGCCAAUCAGCACCCCUUCCCUCUCCUAUCCGCUGUCAGUGCGGAGCCGCUUCUCGCCCUGGCCCUGUCAGGGGGAUGCAUCGCUACGGAUGCCGGCGGUGUGGGCCUGGAUCGGCGCAGGCGCUGGAGCGACCUGCGGCGGUGCGCGCGUUUAUAUCAUCGAUAUGGUAGGCACAAGUGCCAACGUGACUCGAGCGUGUCUCACCGGGCCGUGCCCACCUACUAGGGGGGGAGGGACCCUGAGGCGCCUCGAGUGGGGAUGCGGGAGGUGGCAGCCGGCAUGAUGCGGGUGCGGCUGUGAGGCGACCUGCGCAGCGGGUGCUGGGUAGAGUGUGAGGCAGGGGCCGCACUCACACGGCGGAGUCGGUGCAUUGCCCUAACGCGUGCCUGGUAGCGCGUGGCACAGAGAGAUGGACCUGUGACGGGCCUGGCAGAGUGGAGUCUCACUCACGCUGUGGGGCAGAGAAUGAACAUGUUGAAAUAAGUGUGUGACGUGUCACCAAGGGCCUAGUGCAUCGCUCUUUCAUCUACCUUCUUCCUGUGUGGAUAUGAGAGUAUGUUGCGUUAUCCACUUCUCUUUUUUUCGGACUUUGGGGCUUGGGUUGAGGCAACUCCGUCGCCCCACUUGCAGGAGACCAACGUGAAGGAAAAACAGACUGGCGGUGCAGCGCGCGACCAGUGUGAAUGAAACAG